CGAGUGUGAACAACAAGCUGUACGAACUUGUUCAUUCUCUGCUUUGGAAACUUCACCUGGGUCAACCACUUCCUACUAUUUAUGCCAAGUCUCAAACUAAGAACAACAACCAUGGCAACUUUACUUCUCAUCUUUGUUCUUAUUGUUGAUUUUGGUUUCAACUUGCUGGAAUUAUUUGUGAGUUUGUUGUAAUUGAUUUUUG
rnacentral:lncRNA from 1 species